AGAGUUUGAUCAUGGCUCAGAACGAACGCUGGCGGCGCGUCUUAAACAUGCAAGUCGAACGAUCUGUAGCAAUACAGGGAGUGGCGGACGGGUGAGGAACACGUAGGAAUCUACCUUGAAGAGCGGGACAACUUUGGGAAACCGGGGCUAAUACCGCAUAGUACAGAGAUGUUAAAGGGCUAGCAAUAGUCGCUUCGAGAUGAGCCUGCGGUCUAUCAGCUUGUUGGUGAGGUAAUGGCUCACCAAGGCUACGACGGAUAGCCGGUCUGAGAGGAUGAUCGGCCACACUGGCACUGAGACACGGGCCAGACUCCUACGGGAGGCAGCAGUUAAGAAUCUUGCGCAAUGGGGGAAACCCUGACGCAGCGACGCCGCGUGAAGGAUGAAGGCUUUCGGGUUGUAAACUUCGGUAGACUGGGAAGAAGAACUACGUUCGUUGAGGGCGUAGAGUGACGGUACCAGUCUGAAGCCCCGGCUAAUUACGUG
rnacentral:rRNA from 1 species